GCGGUCUCCUCCUAAAGAGUAACGGAGGAGCACGAAGGUUGGCUAAUCCUGGUCGGACAUCAGGAGGUUAGUGCAAUGGCAUAAGCCAGCUUGACUGCGAGCGUGACGGCGCGAGCAGGUGCGAAAGCAGGUCAUAGUGAUCCGGUGGUUCUGAAUGGAAGGGCCAUCGCUCAACGGAUAAAAGGUACUCCGGGGAUAACAGGCUGAUACCGCCCAAGAGUUCAUAUCGACGGCGGUGUUUGGCACCUCGAUGUCGGCUCAUCACAUCCUGGGGCUGAAGUAGGUCCCAAGGGUAUGGCUGUUCGCCAUUUAAAGUGGUACGCGAGCUGGGUUUAGAACGUCGUGAGACAGUUCGGUCCCUAUCUGCCGUGGGCGCUGGAGAACUGAGGGGGGCUGCUCCUAGUACGAGAGGACCGGAGUGGACGCAUCACUGGUGUUCGGGUUGUCAUGCCAAUGGCACUGCCCGGUAGCUAAAUGCGGAAGAGAUAAGUGCUGAAAGCAUCUAAGCACGAAACUUGCCCCGAGAUGAGUUCUCCCUGAGACUUUAGGUCUCCUGAAGGAACGUUGAAGACGACGACGUUGAUAGGCCGGGUGUGUAAGCGCAGCGAUGCGUUGAGCUAACCGGUACUAAUGAACCGUGAGGCUUAACCUUACAACGCCGAAG
rnacentral:rRNA from 1 species